ACGUUUUGUUAUUCUGAAAGACUAAGCCAUGCACGUGUGAGUUCAUACAAGUAAAAAGUGAGACUGCGAAAGGCUCAGUAAAUCAUUCAUAAUCUAUCUGUGAGUAAACCCAUUGGAUAACCGUGGGAAAUCUAGAGCUAAUACAUGUGAGGAGCAUUUAUUAGGGAACCAAAAGUGGUGAAUCUAGAUAAAGAGCAGAUCGCGUAGGAAUAUGCGACAUAGCAGUUGAAUGUAUGCCCUAUCAACUAGUUGGUAAGGUAGUGGCUUACCAAGGUUGCAACGGGUAACGGGGAAUCUGGGUUCGAUUCCGGAGAGGGAGCCUGAGAAACGGCUACCACAUCCAAGGAAGGCAGCAGGCGCGCAAAUUACCCAAUCCAGACAAUGGGAGGUGGUGAACAGAAGUAUUGAAACAAUGUUUUGAAAUGAGCGUACACUAAACAUCGCGUCGUAAUACAACUGGAGGGCAAGUCUGGUGCCAGCAGCCGCGGUAAUUCCAGCUCCAGUGACAAAAUGUAAUGUUGUUGCGUUUAAAACGCUCGUAGUUGGAUGUGUGUGGUGAGAUGUGGCCUUGAAUGAGUCAAUACAAUCUCACAAAUUAGUGCCUUGAAACAAUCAAAGUGCUCAAAGCGGACGAGAACGUCUAAAUGAUAUAGCAUGGAACGAACAGUAAAUGUAAACGAAUGUUGGUGAUUCGUGUGACAUGAUUAAAGCGAGCGGUUGGGGGCAUUGGUAUUUGGUAGCGAGAGGUGAAAUUCUUAGACCUACCAAGGACUAACAAAAGCCAAGGCAUUUGUCAAGACCGUUUCGAUCAAUCAAUGAACGAAAGAGAAAGGUUCAAUGGAGAUCAGAUACCUCCGUAGUUUUCUCUAUAAACUAUGCCGACCCGGGAUCAGUCUAGUACGUAAUAUAACUGUAUAGGUUGGUCCCCCUGGGAAACCUAAAGUGUUCCGGUUACGGGGGGAGUAUGGUCGCAAGGCUGAAACUUAAAGGAAUUGACGGAAGGGCACCACCAGGGGUGGAGCCUGCGGCUUAAUUUGACUCAACACGGGAAAACUCACCGGUUCAGGACGUUAAAAUGAUAGAUACAGACUGAUAGAUCUUUCUUGAUAUAAUGUGUGGUGGUGCAUGGCCGUUGUUAGUACGUGAACUGAUUUGUCUGGUUAAUUCCGCUAUAACGUACGAGACCAAGAUUUUCAUUUCGAGAGAGAGAGAAUGGAAAGACAACUGAUGUAAAAUCAGAGUAAGAUUGGCAAUAACAGGUCUGUGAUGCCCUUAGAUGUACCGGGCUGCACGCGCGCUACAAUGGAAAUUACAGAGCGUUUCUAGUUUGAAAGGACUGGAUAAUCGUAAAUAGUUUCCGUGAUGGGGAUUGUCGAUUGUAAUUUCGACAUGAAAUAGGAAUCCCUUGUACUUGCACUUCAUUAAGAGUGCAAGGAAUCAGUCCCUGCCUUUUGUACACACYGCCCGUCGCUACUACCGAGUGAAUGAUGUCGUGAUAAUAUUUGCUAAUGAGGGUGGUUCAUCCGCGUAAGGAAUAUUAGAACGAUGCCGUUUCGAGGAAGUAAAAGUCGUAACAAGGUAUCUGUAG
rnacentral:rRNA from 1 species